AAGCCAAACACCCUAAAACAACUAUAUGUCUCUGUGAUGAAUUUUCUACUUGGAUCACCCAGCAGUAUACAUCCUAGACUUGUUUUCUUCUUUAUAGCAAACUUUUCUGAAUUCUGUAGGACCUAUACAAAAACAACAUACACUAAUAGAAUUGUGUACAACUGAAAAAGCUUAAUCAAAUAUGAAAGGAUAAAAGUAAAUAAAAGAAAGGGAACAGAAGGGAGCUAUAUAUCUUACAUAGCUACACCAAUGGUUCAUAACUUCUAGCAAUGGUUUCCAUACUUUUGAGCGCCUGUAUUAACAUAGCAUUUUGUACAUACUAAAAUUGCCAUCUUUCUGACAGCAAAUUUUGUUGAAUUCUAUAGCACAGAUGUUCUAGAAAACAACAUAGAAAAAUAGAAACAUGCAUGAGUGAACUCAAUCAACCAUGGAAAGUGAAAAAGAAAAAGAAAUAAUAGGAAAAUAAAGGGAGAAGGCUAAGAUAAUUUACUCUAAUAUAGCUAUACCAAAAUUUGAAAGGUAUUUUCUGGGACUUGUAAUUAUCCAGACAUAAAUAAACAUUACUUCUUUAAUAGUUAUAAUGAUCAGUUGAGCGGUCUUCUGAAGUGGCAGUGUUGAAAAAAGUAGCAUCAGAAAAUUGGUGAGGCCAUGACUCCAUACCAACAAAUCGAGUGGAUCUAGUGUGUAUUGACAAGUACGUAAGGAAGCAAACUGUAGAGUAGGUGACAAGUGUUGAUGGCUUGUAAUAAAGUGUGGAACAUCUCAUGAGUAGGCAGUGAAAUCAUAUGCCAUGAUGCUUUUGUCAACCAUCUAAGAGGAUGCAGGAUGCCCCAAUAUUGAUUUUAUAUGAGAAUAUCCAACUGCAAGACAAUCAGAAGGCCAAGAGGUUACCCUUUGACGAAGGAAUAAGAAUGUAAAGCAGACUAUAAUACCCAAAUCUACUUGUAUCAUAAGGCUUCACUAAUUCUCCAUGAAAUCUACACAAGUAGCAAAUACAGUUGUCGUACCUGCAUACGACGAUAACAUUAGAUUUGAAGGAUGGUUAGCCGAUUUUACAUGAAAACACCAUAAAAGAAAGCUAUUGAAUUUACAAACAUUUAACUUGUUUUGUUAUGUCAAAACCUAAUUAUCAAGACAUAACUAACGUUACUUCUCUAAUUGGUGACAGAAAACCAACAGAUUGAGUGGAUAAAUCUUGACAAGGAGGCUAAGUCUAGAGUUUGUGAUAAAUCUUGAUGGCAGGCAAUAAUAGUAGAUGAUCCAAAAGUAGAUACAACUCAAGAAAGAUCAUAACUACAAAGAUUAUUAACAAAUAUUGUGAAAUCUUGACAGAUAAAUCUUGACAAGUAUCUCAAUAAAGCAAAGUAUAGAGUUUGUGAUAAAUCUUGAUGGCAGGCAUUAGUAGUAGAUGAUCCAAAAGUAGAUACAACUCAAGAAAGAUCAUAACUACAAAGAUUAUUAACAAAUAUUCUGAAAUCUUGACAGAUAAAUCUUGACAGAUAAAUCUUGACAAGUAUCUCAAGAAAGUAAAGUAUAGAGUUUGUGAUAAAUCUUGAUGGCAGGCAGUAAUAGUAGAUGAUCCAAAGUAGAUACAACUCAAGAAAGAUCAUAACUACAAACAUUAUUAACAAAUAUAGUGAAAUCUUGAAAAUAAAUCUUUUUUUUUGUUUUGUUACUAGUAAAAGUAGAUGCAACUCAAGAAAGAUCAUAACUACAAACAUUAUUAACAAAUAUUGUGAAAUCUUGAAAAUAAAUCCUUUUUUUCUUUUGUUACUAGUAAAAGUAGGGCAUUAAAAUUGGGCAAAAGUAAAUGGAAUUGAUAUAUAAAGUAAAGUUAACAAGUAGUGCAGUUCUAACCCAAGAACUUCAGAAUAUGAAACUGCUUAAAACU
rnacentral:lncRNA from 1 species